CAAGGAAUAUUGGGCAAUGGGCGAAAGCCUGACCCAGCGACGCCGCGUGGGGGAAGAAGGCCUUCGGGUUGUAAACCCCUUUUCUUAGGGAAGAAUAAUGACGGUACCUGAGGAAUAAGUCUCGGCUAACUACGUGCCAGCAGCCGCGGUAAUACGUAGGAGGCGAGCGUUAUCCGGAUUUACUGGGCGUAAAGAGGGCGCGGGCGGCUUUUCAAGUCGGAUGUUAAAUCUCCUGGCUUAACUAGGAGGGGUCAUUCGAUACUGUUGAGCUAGAGGGCAGCAGAGGGAGGUGGAAUUCCCGGUGUAGUGGUGAAAUGCGUAGAUAUCGGGAGGAACACCGGUGGCGAAGGCGGCCUUCUGGGCUGUUCCUGACGCUGAGGCCCGAAAGCGUGGGGAGCAAACAGGAUUAGAUACCCUGGUAGUCCAUGCAGUAAACGAUGGACACUAGGUAUGGGGAGUAUCGACCCUCUCCGUGCCGAAGUUAACGCUUUAAGUGUCCCGCCUGGGAAGUACGGCCGCAAGGCUA
rnacentral:rRNA from 1 species